UGGAUCCUGGCCCACAUUGUACCCCUCUCAUGAAGCACGUGCCAUUCCGAUUUUAAAAUAAUGGGAAGAACGCUACGGCACCGCUCACUGGUGAUAUGACUCUCAAACUGUCUACAGAUUGCCGAACAAUAAAAAGGAUACAACUCCAAGCAUGCCCUUGGGCAAGUCACUGAACAAUUUUUAAGCCUGUCAUCUAUGAAAAUGUCACAGUUGGACUGGGCAACUUUUGAGGUCCCUGCUCGCUCUGGAAGCCUGUGCCCUGGAUGCGGGCAGGGAGACAGCCAUACCAGGUUUGCAACUUGACCAGAUUUAUUUAUGGCCUCUGGAGAGAUGUACUACUUCUCGUGCUGACAGAGCUAAUCAAUGCCUCAGUGAAUUUGUCUGCACAGCAUAGUGCUACCUGGAGGACUUUCUGAGGAUGAUGGCAAAGUCAAGGAGAUUCCCAGAGGGUCUCUGGUGUCCCAGAAGCUUACCCAGGCACAGGGUAUUUGUGAAGCUGCUUUUCCGAGCAACCUUCGCUGAAGCAGGAGGCAGAGUCAAGCUGUUGCCAUGAAGAUCGUUUCAAGAGCUCAGAAAUCCUCCAGGGAUCCCUUUAUCACUGCUUUUCAAAGAGGCCUUUAUUCCUCUCCUCUCCUGUUUCCUGCAAAGGGAGUUGUGUCCCAUCCUUGAGGACACGGUGAAGCCAAAAAGGACCUGAAGACUCCUCCAGGGCUAUGAUCUUCUGAAUUGUGAAAUCUGCCAUUCUGAUCACUGGCCUUUCUCCCCCCGCACCACCACAUUGGAAUCAAUGCUAUGGUUCUGUAAAACUUUACAGUAUAAUAAACCUGCCUUUUCAUUUUUAAAGGA